rnacentral:rRNA from 1 species
CUACGGGGGGCAGCAGUGGGGAAUCUUGCACAAUGGGGGAAACCCUGAUGCAGCGACGCCGCGUGAGCGAUGAAGCCCUUCGGGGUGUAAAGCUCUUUCGGCAGGGACGACAUCCGACGGUACCUGCAGAAGAAGCUGCGGCUAACUACGUGCCAGCAGCCGCGGUAAUACGUAGGCAGCAAGCGUUGUUCGGAAUUACUGGGCGUAAAGCGUGUGUAGGCGGUUCUCUAAGUCCGGUGUGAAAUCUCCUGGCUCAACUGGGAGGGUGCGCCGGAAACUGGAGGGCUAGAGUGUGGGAGAGGCCGCUGGAAUUCGUGGUGUAGCGGUGAAAUGCGUAGAUAUCACGAGGAACGCCAGAGGCGAAGGCGGC